rnacentral:rRNA from 1 species
AGUGAACGCUGGCGGUAGGCCUAACACAUGCAAGUCGAACGGCAGCACAGAGGAGCUCGCUCCUUGGGUGGCGAGUGGCGGACGGGUGAGGAAUACAUCGGAAUCUACUCUGUCGUGGGGGAUAACGUAGGGAAACUUACGCUAAUACCGCAUACGACCUACGGGUGAAAGCAGGGGACCUUCGGGCCUUGCGCGAUUGAAUGAGCCGAUGUCGGAUUAGCUAGUUGGCGGGGUAAAGGCCCACCAAGGCGACGAUCCGUAGCUGGUCUGAGAGCAUGAUCAGCCACACUGGAACUGAGACACGGUCCAGACUCCUACGGGAGGCAGCAGUGGGGAAUAUUGGACAAUGGGCGCAAGCCUGAUCCAGCCAUACCGCGUGGGUGAAGAAGGCCUUCGGGUUGUAAAGCCCUUUUGUUGGGAAAGAAAUCCAGCUGGCUAAUACCCGGUUGGGAUGACGGUACCCAAAGAAUAAGCACCGGCUACUUCGUGCCAGCCGCCGCGGUAA